rnacentral:rRNA from 1 species
UUAGUGGCGGACGGGUGAGUAACGCGUGGAUAACCUGCCGUAUACAGGGGGAUAACACUUAGAAAUAGGUGCUAAUACCGCAUAAGCGCACGGUUCCGCAUGGAACAGUGUGGAAAACUCCGGUGGUAUACGAUGGAUCCGCGUCUGAUUAGCCAGUUGGCGGGGUAACGGCCCACCAAAGCGACGAUCAGUAGCCGGCCUGAGAGGGUGAACGGCCACAUUGGGACUGAGACACGGCCCAAACUCCUACGGGAGGCAGCAG